GACGAACGCUGGCGGCGUGCUUAACACAUGCAAGUCGAACGGAAAGGCCUGCUUUCCCUUGUGGAUUGCGGGUACUCGAGUGGCGAACGGGUGAGUAACACGUGAGUGAUCUGCCCCCAACUUGGGUAUAAGCCUGGGAAACUGGGUCUAAUUCCCGAUAGGACUGCAGGGUGGUGCCUGUGGUGGAAAACGAUUUUCUAGUGGUUGGGGAUGAGCUCGCGGCCUAUCAGCUUGUUGGUGGGGUAAUGGCCUACCAAGGCGGCGACGGGUAGCCGGCCUGAGAGGGUGGACGGCCACAUUAGGACUGAGAUACGGCCCAGACUCCUACGGGAGGCAGCAGUGGGGAAUAUUGCACAAUGGGCGGAAGCCUGAUGCAGCGACGCCGCGUGGGGGAUGACGGCCUUCGGGUUGUAAACUCCUUUCGACCGCGAGGAAGCCACCUGGUUGGAAGGGUGGUGACGGUAGUGGUAGAAGAAGCACCGGCUAACUACGUG
rnacentral:rRNA from 1 species